UGGAGAUAAUAAAUCAGGGACGGCAAUGAAUACGACAUUCACAUUCAAAUUUUCCUUUAGUCGCUUCAAUGCACCUACUAAUAGCCCCCCUCUUAUGACUUUUGUCACAGUGGACUUUGCAGGCGUUGGCUUCACAUUUUCCACCUUUUAGUGGAUAAUAUGCAUAACAUGGCCCAUUAGGUCCUAUAUCUGUUCUGUUAUUAUUAAUCCAAUGUUGUCCUGUUACUAUGAUAAUUAAAACAUAACUUUAGUUUUUAUAUUUAAAAUAGAAAACAAUUUUUUUAAUAAAAUAUAGAUUUAGGGAGUUUCUGCAUAUUUAUAGAAAAAAAGAACUAAACGUCUAAACAUAUUUUUCUACAUCAUUGAUUAUUCUUGAAAAAUCAUUAAACUCAAUAUUGUAUUAUUAGACAUUCAACUUAUAUAUGUAUAUAAAUUAAUACCGCAUCAAAUAAGUUUUAUUAUAGAAUGAUUAGAUAAUAUAUUAAUAAAGUUGUAAAUGUAAAUACAAACCGUGCAGAAGAAUUGUGAGCAUAACGAAUCCAAUAAACCAAAGUUUGAAAGCAAC
rnacentral:lncRNA from 1 species